ACGAACGCUGGCGGCGUGCCUAAUCCAUGCAGGUCGAGCGGACGGAUGGGAGCUUGCUCCCAGACCGUCAGCGGCGGACGGGUGAGUAACACGUGGGCAACCUGCCUGUAAGACUGGGAUAACUCCGGGAAACCGGGGCUAAUACCGGAUAACUCUUUCCCUCACAUGAGGGAAAGCUGAAAGAUGGCAUCUCGCUAUCACUUACAGAUGGGCCCGCGGCGCAUUAGCUAGUUGGUGAGGUAACGGCUCACCAAGGCGACGAUGCGUAGCCGACCUGAGAGGGUGAUCGGCCACACUGGGACUGAGACACGGCCCAGACUCCUACGGGAGGCAGCAGUAGGGAAUCUUCCGCAAUGGACGAAAGUCUGACGGAGCAACGCCGCGUGAGUGAUGAAGGUUUUCGGAUCGUAAAACUCUGUUGUCAGGGAAGAACAAGUACCGGAGUAACUGCCGGUACCUUGACGGUACCUGACCAGAAAGCCACGGCUAACUACGUG
rnacentral:rRNA from 1 species